rnacentral:rRNA from 1 species
CCUGGCUCAGGAUGAACGCUAGCUACAGGCUUAACACAUGCAAGUCGAGGGGCAGCAUGGUCUUAGCUUGCUAAGGCCGAUGGCGACCGGCGCACGGGUGAGUAACACGUAUCCAACCUGCCGUCUACUCUUGGACAGCCUUCUGAAAGGAAGAUUAAUACAAGAUGGCAUCAUGAGUCCGCAUGUUCACAUGAUUAAAGGUAUUCCGGUAGACGAUGGGGAUGCGUUCCAUUAGAUAGUAGGCGGGGUAACGGCCCACCUAGUCUUCGAUGGAUAGGGGUUCUGAGAGGAAGGUCCCCCACAUUGGAACUGAGACACGGUCCAAACUCCUACGGGAGGCAGCAGUGAGGAAUAUUGGUCAAUGGGCGAGAGCCUGAACCAGCCAAGUAGCGUGAAGGAUGACUGCCCUAUGGGUUGUAAACUUCUUUUAUAAAGGAAUAAAGUCGGGUAUGGAUACCCGUUUGCAUGUACUUUAUGAAUAAGGAUCGGCUAACUCCGUGCCAGCAGCCGCGGUAAUACGGAGGAUCCGAGCGUUAUCCGGAUUUAUUGGGUUUAAAGGGAGCGUAGAUGGAUGUUUAAGUCAGUUGUGAAAGUUUGCGGCUCAACCGUAAAAUUGCAGUUGAUACUGGAUAUCUUGAGUGCAGUUGAGGCAGGCGGAAUUCGUGGUGUAGCGGUGAAAUGCUUAGAUAUCACGAAGAACUCCGAUUGCGAAGGCAGCCUGCUAAGCUGCAACUGACAUUGAGGCUCGAAAGUGUGGGUAUCAAACAGGGAUUAGAUACCCUGGUAGUCCACACGGUAAAACGAUGAAUACUCGCUGUUUGCGAUAUACUGCAAGCGGCCAAGCGAAAGCGUUAAGUAUUCCACCUGGGGGAGUACGCCGGCAAACGGUGAAACUCAAAGGGAAUUGACGGGGGCCCGCACAAGCGAGGAACAUGUGGUUUAAUUCGAUGAUACGCGAGGAACCUUACCCCGGGCUUAAAUUGCAGAUGAAUUACGGUGAAAGCCGUAAGCCGCAAGGCAUCUGUGAAGGUGCUGCAUGGUUGUCGUCAGCUCGUGCCGUGAGGUGUCGGCUUAAGUGCCAUAACGAGCGCAACCCUUGUUGUCAGUUACUAACAGGUUCCGCUGAGGACUCUGACAAGACUGCCAUCGUAAGAUGUGAGGAAGGUGGGGAUGACGUCAAAUCAGCACGGCCCUUACGUCCGGGGCUACACACGUGUUACAAUGGGGGGUACAGAGGGCCGCUACCACGCGAGUGGAUGCCAAUCCCCAAAACCUCUCUCAGUUCGGACUGGAGUCUGCAACCCGACUCCACGAAGCUGGAUUCGCUAGUAAUCGCGCAUCAGCCACGGCGCGGUGAAUACGUUCCCGGGCCUUGUACACACCGCC